CCACAUUAAAACACUGCUCUGAUGUUUACGGAAGACAGGUUAUAAAUAACCACUGGGAGUCAGUCCGACAUACAGCAGGCAGAACGAGAGUUUUAAGAAUCAGAAGAACACUCGCUCAUUCACCGCGAAUUUAUAACUUAAUACUUCGCCAACUGGCGCAGGCGUAGUACACAUGCUAUAUAGAGUCUGGUGGGGCUGCUGCUGAGAGGAGUGGGAGACAAACUCAAUGAGGAGGAGGAAGCUUUUGUGAAUGAUGAUGAGGAAGUCGACUGAGCCAGAGGGAUUUUCCCCAUUCUAUACCCCCAUUGUCUUCUUCCCGAUUAUACACUUUUUUCCCAAAGUAUGCACUUGCGCAUUUUCUGUCAUGGAUCAGAAUUUGAUUGGCGUAAUUAUUGGCUAAAGGGAGUUCCCACCAUUGUUAAAUCUAUGACGGGAAAGGGUGGAUAAUUGGGAUCUAGCUCUCUAACCCCAGCCCUAACCCCUAGAGAAGUUUCAACUCAGGGUGUCGCCAAUCUUCCCUAUUAUCACCUGUGUAUUUAUACCUGUGUUCUCUGUCUUGUUUGUUGCCAGUUUGUCUUGUUCGUUCAAGCUUACCAGCGGUUUUCCUGUCAGCGGCUAUUGUUUCCAACCCUUGCUUUGCUAGUCCUCCUGGUUUUGACCGAUGCCUGACAUCUCUGCCUGAGCCUGCACCUUUGCUCCACCUCUGGAUUACUGAACCCUGCCUGACCCUGAGUCUGCCUGCCGUCCUGUACCUUUGCCUAACCCUUGAUUUUCGACCCCUGCCUGCCUUGACCUGUCUUUGCAUGUCCCUGUUUGCUACAAUAAACAGGGUUACUUCGACAGUCUGCAUCUGGGUCUUACCUUGAUUCUUGAUAAGCCUAUACUGUCAGAUCCAAAUAAUGUUUACAUAAAGCAACAUUGCCAAAGAUGUCAACAUUCCAGACCUCCAGGACAUGUCCUCAUUUGAUCCAGAGAUGGAACCACUGGUUAAAUCGUGACUGGACCAAAGACUGGGGCAGGUACUGUAGCCUACGUAUGCUGUAUGGAAGUGCUACAAUUCUGAGUGGUAUAUGGUCAAACGGUAAUUCUGUG
rnacentral:lncRNA from 1 species